rnacentral:tRNA from 1 species
GCCGGGAUGGCGGAACGGUAGACGCAGCAGACUUAAAAUCUGCCGCCCCCAGGGGCGUGCGGGUUCGAGACCCGCUCCCGGCACCA